UAUUAAAAGUUUUGUCCAUUUGCAUUAUUAAAAACUGGCGUGAUUGAUGGAAUGGCCAACUAGAGUGACAUAUGGUGUACUACAUAUACCUCAUGCUAACAUACAAAGACAAGUUUUUAACAAUAAAAUAGAUAGAAUUUUUAAUA
rfam:Gossypium hirsutum cultivar TM-1 chromosome 23, whole genome shotgun sequence